AGGGGAAAAGGAAGGGUCCUUGCCGCCAUUUCACGUGAAAAACAGCGCGGUGAAAGAAACGAGCAGAGCGAUACUAUCAGAAAAACAGCGAGAUUUCAAAUUCAGUUCAUCAGCUACAGCUUUAACUAGCAUUGUAGCGGAUUAAUAGCACGCUAGGGUCUAAAGGUUUUUGUCCUGAUUGGCCUGCUUAGUUGUCCGGAGAAGAAAAUGAGCUACGGAAGGCCGCCGCCAGACGUUGAGGGGAUGACCUCCUUAAAGGUGGACAACCUGACUUACCGAACUUCGCCGGAGACUCUGCGCCGAGUUUUUGAGAAAUACGGCCGUGUGGGAGAUGUGUAUAUCCCGCGGGACAGGUACACCAAGGAGAGCCGAGGCUUCGCUUUCGUGCGGUUCCUCGACAAGCGCGACGCCGAAGACGCAAUGGACGCCAUGGACGGCGCGCUGCUCGACGGGCGGGAGCUUCGGGUUCAGAUGGCUCGAUACGGAAGGCCGCCAGACUCCAUGUACAGCCGGAGAGGCCCUCCGCCACGGAGAUACGGAUACGGACGCAGAAGCAGAAGCCGUUCAGCCAGUCCUCGCCGUCGAAGACGUAGCCACAGCCGGUCCAGGAGCAGAAGCCGCUCUAGAUCUAGGAGCCGCCACCACUACAGCCGCUCCAGGUCCCGUUCCUACUCCAGGUCAAGGUCCAAGUCUAAGUCCAAAUCCAGAACCCCUCGGCGAAGCAAGUCAAAGUCGCCCUCCAGAUCUCGGUCCCGCUCCAGGUCCAAGUCAAGGAGUCGAACCCCAGCUUCCAACAGAGGGUCCAGGUCAAAGUCGAAGUCCAGGUCCAGGUCCAAAUCCAAGAGUAGACCUAAAUCCCCAGAGGACACCGGAGCAGAGUCUUAACCCAAAUGCAGAUGCAACAUGACGGUAUAAAGGGGAAAGGGUGGCUUAUAUCAUUAGUUUCAAUUAUACUAACUAGGGUGGUAAUCAGCACCAGUUGGGUUUGUGUUCUGCAGUCUUUGACAUUAUGGCCAUUUACAUACAAAGGUCUGCAGAAUCCCUGAUAUUUGUGUUAUUUAAAUAAGAGUUGGACUGUUGUAGCCAACAGUCCUAGUUCUGUGUGUGCUUUACUUUGCUUGCAUGUCCAGCCAAUCUAAAGCAUGCACAGGCAAUGGGAGAUUGGGAUAUUUGUUGAGUAUGUAUGGGAGGGAGUGGGUGGUUGGGACGUGUGGGGGGGUGCUUCACUCAAAACGUUCACCUAAAUGUGGAAUUCUUUCCUCCAAGCUGCGGAGUCCUGUUUGCAAAGGGAGGAGGAGAUGGGGGUGUUGCAGUGUGAGAGCAGUUAGUGUGUGACCCGCCCAUGUGACCUGCCUGUUGCUGAGAGCGAUGGCAGGUACUAAGGAGCAGGUCAACAAGGCAACGGUGGUUGCUAUGGAGCAGGUCGUCAUGGCGGUGGUUCGGGCUGUCAGUUGGUGUAUGAGGUGGUGUGGUGAGGUACGUUCACAGGGACCACAGGCAGAUGCACUGUGGUGUCCUCCGCCUCUCACAAAGGGAACGGACCCCGAGGUUUGUUUUUCAAAUAUGCCCGAGUGUAAGAGACUUGUUAGAGCUAGUUUUGGGGAGAGGAAGCGUGUUUUUGUUUUUUAACUAUUGUGACAAUAAAUAGAAAUGUUAGGCUUAUUAAGAGAAAUUAAUGUCCAUAGAGCCAGUUUGAUGUGUCAGGAGAAAGAUCAGUACAGAAUUACAUGUUAUAAUCCAGGUCAGCUGCAGGAGUUGAUGUAACUUCUGGGUUUGGCUCUUGCUAACUCUGUUCUGUCUUUCCUUCCAGAUCUCAAAUGAUUGAUGCUAUGCUGAGGACAUCAGGAAGAGUCUCAGAUUGAAGUGGACUCAAAUAUUGCCACUGAAUGCAGACUCAAAGGCGCAGUUGUGUAGCAGUUGAAUAAUGCUGGUUAGCUGUUAAGAUGCGGUGCAGUGCGGUGGUGACAUGGUGUGGCGUGUUGCGGUGCUGAGUGCCCGGUGUGUUCCGGGGCUCGACCCUCCGCUGCUGUUUGCCGGUUUGUAAGCUCACAGGUGUGGCAGAUCAUCCAUCCUCUCCUGUCUUGUGACUUCACCUUCCCUCCAUGUGCUGUACAGAUCCUCUUCUUUCUUUUCUUUUUAUUCUCCCUCCUCCUUUCCCCCCCCCUUGCUCCUCUCUAUGGUUUAUCAACUGUUGAUAACUGGUCUUGGUCUUUGAAAGUGGUUCCAGUGGGACUCUUAGUUGAAGGGUUUCAAGGGCAGUUCCGCCUGCUUCAUGAUGUGUAUUGCAUUCCUCUGUGAACCUCUCAAAUGUCUUGUAAGUGCUUACGGUGAAUGCUAAUAAACAUUUUUGUUUAAAAUAAA